AAGGCUUGACAUGGGGAAGACUGGACGAGAGAUCGUCCUUCUCUAGCAAUAGAGCUUCCCACACAGGUGCUGCAUGGCUGUCGUCAGCUCGUGUCGUGAGAUGUUGGGUUAAGUCCCGCAACGAGCGCAACCCCCGUUUCUAGUUGCCAUCAUUCAGUUGGGCCCUCUAGAGAGACUGCCGCGAAUAACGCGGAGGAAGGUGGGGACACGUCAAGUCAUCAUGG
rnacentral:rRNA from 1 species